rnacentral:lncRNA from 1 species
AAUAGAGUGUGGUUGAAAAUUAAAAUUGAAGAUAAAGUCUAAAACUAGUUUGGACUGCCACCAACCAGUUUCCAGGAUCCUUCAAUUGAUCACCUCCUAGUAAUAUAGGUUGCGCCACUUUCAUGAAGUCCAUUACCGUGAUUGGCUUGGCAGCCACUGGUGCUUGCACCGGGUUCGUUCUUCGAGCUCGUACCAUCGAUCUGCAUCAAUUCACAACAUAUAAUACACAUAUAUCAUAACUAUUAUUUCCUUAAACCCAUUAUGUUUCUUAAUUAUUCACCCCCCCAUGAUCAAGAUAUGGUUCAAUACAUAUCCUGAUUUUUUAUUUCUAGUCUCUGAUACCACUUGUAAAACCCUACUUUCCAGUCUGUAUUUCUCGUCAUAUUUACACACAUGUCUAGUCUUUAAGAAAAUGACGAGUCCUUUGUUUCUUACCACUCCAGUUAGGCAAGGCUGCCUCCAUUCCCUGCAAUGUUGUAUGUAUCCGUGAAUGAUUUCAGUAUGUAAAGCAUCCACGUUAACAUUUUAACAGUAAUUACAUCUGAUCAGAAUAAAUCGGAUUAUUCCAAUCAGAUCCGUUGAUUUAUAUCAUGGUGACCACCAUGAUUUUCAGAACAUUAAACUCUAGAAAAAUAGAACCCAUCCAUUUUCCCUCCCUCACAUUCUCCAACCCUAGACAUGGAAUUUGGAAAAAAGUAACCCUACAUACCUGAUCCUCCUUUGCCCGCCGAGCUUCACACCUUCCGCACCACGAUACCAGAGCUCCUCUACAGAUCCCCGCCACAAUGCCACUCCCUUCUUCUUGCUCUACCGUUUCCUUUCCUUUCUUUUCCUUUUCCUUUCUUUCUCCCGUACGUUGCCCUAGUUCUUCCGAUCUCCUCCUUUCCUAUUUUACCCUUAAUUAACCGGGUCACCCAUUAACCGGUUAUUACAGGUGCAUUGUUCGAUU